UUCUAGGAAAAAUAUUUGUCCCA
rnacentral:siRNA from 1 species